AGUAUACAUGGAGCAAGAAGUCCCAUGUUCUCCAAAAGAUGACCUGAAGAUGCGGGAACUGGAGCUCAGGUGAAGGCAUCUCACAGGGCUGAGAACUUCCAGGGAGAGGGCACAAAGUCUCUGCCCUCAGUCUAGGAGGGACAUCAGGGUGGCAGAAUAAAGAAGCGGACAAAAAUCAUCUGGACCAUGCUUUGUCAGUUUGUCCUGCCAAGUGAGAAUCUACCAGGCUAAGCAGCUAAAGAAGCUAUUUUCUCUUCAAGCAAAGAAGGGCCUGAUGGACAUAUUCUCCAAGCAGAAACACCUCUCCAUCAUCUUUUGACUAUCAACUAUAUCAAGGGAACAAAAUGCAUAGCAAUAACAUCAGGGCCACGUCUGCAAUCUUCAUUGAUACAGUGGCAGAGCCCGAUGCCCGAGAGGCCCCCACACCUGCCUCA